GACACAGUUAUGAACUUGUAACCAGAGAAAACCCAAUUGUGGGUUUUGAACAACUGACACCUACCAGAGCCCAAGGUUAGAGCUGCAGAGAGGGGGUGACCUCUGGGCAUCAAAAUCCAUGACAGGAGCUGGCUCCUACAGCUUGAGGAGAAAAGAGCCCAUAGGAAGGAAGCAGCUCCCAACCAAGAUACAUACAUUUGCAAUAACUGCCAGAGAUCAUGAAAAUCUCAGAUUGGACUAUUCAGUCACAUGAGACAUUGGAAACCAUCUCCAUCGUAGCCUGCAAUUCUCACCAUCUCUCGUAGAUGAAGGAUGGCAACAGUCCUAAGAAAAGUUCCCUAUGGUCAAGAGGAUAAUGCCCUCCUCUCAUAUCCUUGGCAAGUUAACAAGCCACACUUGCCACAAUCAGUGACCAGAAUUUACUCCGCAAUUUUAUGCAGAGUUCUACUCCUGCUGACAGGGUAGGUAAAUACCAGAAGAGCUCUGAAUUGCUCCUGUACAUGCUGA